rnacentral:misc_RNA from 1 species
GGAAGUGAUCAUGGGAAGGCAUCCGGGAGAUCUCAUCUCGUCCUUGUCACUAUCAACGGCCCAUCAAAUUCUAUUCAAGGAUGUAGUGGACCAACGCAUUCUUCCUCCUCAUUGUCAAGCAGCGGAGGAAUUGGUUAACAUUGCAAAGCUAGUGUUUGCUUGCCUUGAUGCCAGUCCACGCUCUCGGCCAACCAUGGAACAAGUUUCUCACAAGAUAGCAAUUCGAAAGCCCAACCAUACAACAAGUCUCUCACAAGAUGUCCAUUCGAAAGCAACAUUUGCCAAGGCAUUUGACACUGUAGAAUUAGCAGACCUGUUUGAUUGUUUGCGUCCUUAAUUUCUAGUCUUCGUAAUCUAGCCAUUUGCUUUUGGAUGUAUCCAGUAUUUCCUACUAGAUAUAUAGGAUGUAGGAGUCCAUGAAAAUCAAUAAAACUAAUCAGUGAAAAUAUUUAUGGUCGAC